rnacentral:rRNA from 1 species
GAUGAACGCUAGCGGCAGGCCUAAUACAUGCAAGUCAAGGGGAUAGCAAUAUCACCGGCGGACGGGUGCGUAACGCGUACACAACGUGCCCAAGGGCGGAGGAAAGCGGCGGGAAACUGCCGGUAAUACUCCAUGGUGUUGUUGAGUGGCAUCACUUAACAACUAAAGUACAAGCGCCCUUGGAUCGGUGUGCGUUCGAUUAGCUAGUUGGCGGGGUAACGGCCCACCAAGGCUUCGAUCGAUAGGGGGUGUGAGAGCAUGACCCCCCACACGGGUACUGAGACACGGACCCGACUCCUACGGGAGGCAGCAGUAAGGAAUAUUGGACAAUGGGCGGAAGCCUGAUCCAGCCAUGCCGCGUGAAGGACGAAGGCGCUCAGCGUUGUAAACUUCUUUUGGAUGGGAACAAUAACUCCGACUUGUCGGAACUUGAGGGUACCAUCAGAAUAAGCACCGGCUAACUCCGUGCCAGCAGCCGCGGUAAAGUCUGUACU